GCAGAUCUGUAAGGAAAGCCUGUAAAUGUUACUAAAAAUGUGAUAUUUAAUAAAUAAACAAAUUUGAUACAAAGUUGCUGAUGAUUUCAAUGGUAGCUUAUGUAACAGGCCACUUCUCCUCUGCAACAUAAGGAUGUGACACUGUAAUGACAAAAUGGCUUUGUUACAAAAGUAUGCCUAAAUAUGUCUAAAGUAUUUGAGAAAACGCACCGAACAGACCUAUGUUCCCGGGUUUUGACUUGUACAAUGUGUGGUUACCAUCAUUAGUCUGAAUAGGUAAGGUACGUCAACAAUGCAUUUCGCUGAAACCACCACUGAAGUCUCAGUCAACAUCAUGGCAGCAUUAGGACUCCUAUGGCUUGUGAGCUCCGUAGCAUCCAUCCUUGUCAAAUGUGAAGAUGCAACAUCUGAACACAAAAAGAUCUACCCAGCAAAGAUAUUUGGACCAUCUAGCGUGACUGAAGGGGUAAACAUCCAUUUUAAAUGUAGCACUACUGGCAUCAGAGGACCUGAGGACAAGUUCAAUUUUUACCUUUGCAAGAAUGGAGUUGGGAUAAGAAUUGCGCUGCUGGAGGAAGGUGAAGAUGAUGCUAUUUUCGACAUGAAGAAUGUCACACGAGAAGACUCAGGCAACUACAGCUGUGUGUACACCAGAGAUAAACUUGUACCCAGUCACUUGAGGUCAACAGGGGAUAAUUUAGUAGUCUUUCAGGUUAAUGGAGAACAGAAAGAGGGACUAAAGAAUAUGGGAGGACAAGGGAGAGCGGGACUGGCAGCAGCCUUGGUCCUCCUGUUUCUGACGCUGUCUGUACUGCUGUUAGUGUGGAGGUACUGGGGAAUCCUGAAACAAAUGAUAAGCAUUGACCAUCAACCAAGUGAGAAUCAGGAUACGGAUCAAACAUACAGUCUACUCUCAGUUGUACCAGGUAUUGUAUAUCAGUUCAUAUUUUUACAUUGCAUAUUUUGCAUCACAUAUUGUUCCUUUCCUUCAUUUCUUUAA
rnacentral:lncRNA from 1 species